CGAUGGCCAUUCGUUCCUCUUGCCAUCGAGAGCCACAGUGGUGAGAUUUUGAGUCAUUGCAGAGCAAGUGACUUUAUUCACUCUAGACACGUGUGGGGCAGACGGUCUGUCUUCUCCCGUGUUUGGAAAAUUGCGGAGUUGGACAAAA